AUCAAUACUGCACUGGUAAGGUAUGAAUCCGAAGCCUCCUGAAGGUCAACAAAGGCUCUCCAUACCCUACUUCGACUCAAUACGUCCCCGGCGUAUAGAACUGUAACAUGUCUCUCCAAAUAUCUGAGCUUGGGUAUACUUGGGAAGAUGGAUUAUAUGGCUAAAUUGAAG
rfam:Anopheles maculatus strain maculatus3 cont1.13516, whole genome shotgun sequence.